GACGAACGCUGGCGGCGUGCCUAAUACAUGCAAGUAGAACGCAGUUGCGAACGGGUGAGUAACGCGUAGGUAACUGCCUCAUAGCGGGGGAUAACUAUUGGAAACGAUAGCUAAUACCGCAUACUGUGGGAUGUAACUGCGUUGUAUUAGCUAGUUGGUGAGGUAAAGGGUCACAAAGGCGACGAUACAUAGCCGACCUGAGAGGGUGUGCGGGCACACUGGGACUGAGACAGAGCCCAGAACCCUACGGGAGGCUGCAGUAGGGAGUCGUGGGCAAUGGACGGAAGUCUGACCGAGCAACGCCGCGUGAGUGAAGAAGGGUUGCGGAUCGUAAAGCUCUGUUGUUCGAGAAGCGGUAACUAACGAAAAAGGGACGGCUAACUACGUGCCAGCAGCCGCGGUAAUAC
rnacentral:rRNA from 1 species